AGCAUGAACAGAACAAUGUGUUUCAUCCCGAGAACAGAGCCGAUCACGCGUCACCAGACGCGUGAAUGACAAGGAAAGGUGCAGGUGAGAUGCCAGUAAAUCAAUUUUUCCCAGCCCGAUUAUUGUUUGUCAGGAGGCCUAAGUAAAACGCACUUCCCGAGUAGCGUGUCAUUCCGACGAAAGAUCGGCGUUCGCAGAUUGUAUGCUGCCAGUUGCCAAGACCUGCCACACGAAUGGGAAGAACAUGUCAGAAGAAAGGACGAGGAGUGUGAGGGGAAGAGAAUACUGGAGAUGGAUCUGUUCGGUAGGAGAAUUAGAGGGAGACCUAAAAUGAGAUUUAUGGAUGCAGUAAAACAAAACAUGGUUGUAAUAAGCGAGGUUGAGGAAGGUGCACAAGACCGAGCACGUUGAAGAUUAAUCUGCUGCGACAACCCUUAACGGGAGUAGCCGACAGAUGAUAGUUUCUUUUUUUAAUAAUUACUGAUGUAAUGAAUAUGUUUUCAGAUGCAGCCGAGUGUGGUCUUAUCGAUGCUCUGGCUGUCUCCCGCCAUCAUAACAUACGUUUUUGCGAGACUGCCACAGAUUCACUAUGGAGGUAAGACGAUCGAGGCUGAAUCCAUAGGUACAGUACUUCAGUCAACUUCUGAAAACCACAUCGUCUUAUUGAUUCAUGACCAGAUUUAUUCGAGAGGUGACAUUUUGCAUCACAUAAGAGUGCCACGGGGUGUCGGACUAUUCGAGAUGGGACGGCAAGCCAUGGAUGCUAAUUCCACUCAUAUACAAGUAACCUCGCUCAUUAGGAAAGCACACUUGGCAAGUUGACUAUCAAUAUUCUGGUCAAAAAUAGCUAUGAAAAUAUGGUUUAUUUAUAAUGUUGAUACAGGUGUAUCAUCUUUCAACAGAUAGCAGCGACAGCAACGGAAGUGUUGGUCUUGGUGGCGAGUGACAACCCAAACUUCCUUAGCAUUUUUUUCGAGUUGUCUCUGCGGAGCCGCUUCUUGGUGUGGACGACUCGGCUUCUUGUGUUUACACGACUGCAGGCUCGGAGAGUUCAACACUUACACGAGACCUUGUCCAUGACCAACUCCUUGCUGCUUACACCAGCAAUUAACAAUAAAAGGUUGGUGGCAUCCGCUGUGCUCCCGUACAGCGAACCUAGCGUGCAGCCCCUUGUGGUCGCAGUCUGGACUCCACGUUCAGGAAUGAGCCGAACACAAGAUCAUCAGACUUUCCCAGAGAAGUUUACUAAACUGAGCACGAUGCCUAAUCUUCUCGUGGCCAUGACGGAAGACGCGAUGAACCGGAAGUUCACCGUGGAGGACCCAACCUCCCACGCUGGGCAGAGAGUCGUGUUUGAAGGUUACAUGGUCGACGUGAUGGAUUACGUCGCUCAGGGAAUAAAUUUCUCGUACGUUUCCAAAAAAAAGAUAAUCUUAUAGUUGGGUAUUUAUAAGUUUUUA